rnacentral:rRNA from 2 species
UGGGGAAUAUUGGACAAUGGGCGCAAGCCUGAUCCAGCCAUGCCGCGUGGGUGAAGAAGGCCUUAGGGUUGUAAACCCCUUUCAGCGGGGAAGAUAAUGACGGUACCCGCAGAAGAAGUCCCGGCUAACUCCGUGCCAGCAGCCGCGGUAAUACGGAGGGGACUAGCGUUGUUCGGAAUUACUGGGCGUAAAGCGCGCGUAGGCGGACCUGCAAGUCGGGGGUGAAAGCCCGAGGCUCAACCUCGGAACUGCCUUCGAUACUGCGGAUCUCGAGUCCGGGAGAGGUGAGUGGAAUUCCUAGUGUAGAGGUGAAAUUCGUAGAUAUUAGGAAGAACACCAGUGGCGAAGGCGGCUUCACUGGCCCGGUACUGACGCUGAGGCGCGAAAGCGUGGGGAGCAAACA